rnacentral:rRNA from 1 species
UACGAAGGGGGCUAGCGUUGCUCGGAAUUACUGGGCGUAAAGCGCACGUAGGCGGCUUUCUAAGUCGGGGGUGAAAUCCUGGAGCUCAACUCCAGAACUGCCUUCGAUACUGGAGAGCUCGAGUCCGGGAGAGGUGAGUGGAACUGCGAGUGUAGAGGUGAAAUUCGUAGAUAUUCGCAAGAACACCAGUGGCGAAGGCGGCUCACUGGCCCGGUACUGACGCUGAGGUGCGAAAGCGUGGGGAACAAACAGG